AGAGUUUGAUCCUGGCUCAGGACGAACGCUGGCGGCGUGCCUAACACAUGCAAGUCGAGCGAUUUAGAGGUUGGAUGUUAGAGGUUAGAGGUUGGAGAGGAAGUAAGGCUACGAAGCAUUACCGGAAUCUAACAUCUAAUUUCCAACAUCUAACUUCUAAGUAGCGGCGGACGGGUGAGUAACACGUGGGCAACCUGCCUCAAAGAGGGGGAUAACACCGGGAAAUCGGUGCUAAUACCGCAUAACAUACAAUUCUCGCAUGGGAGAUGUAUCAAAGGAGCAAUCCGCUUUGAGAUGGGCCCGCGGCUGAUUAGCUAGUUGGUGAGGUAACGGCUCACCAAGGCGACGAUCAGUAGCCGACCUGAGAGGGUGACCGGCCACACUGGAACUGAGACACGGUCCAGACUCCUACGGGAGGCAGCAGUGGGGAAUAUUGCGCAAUGGGGGAAACCCUGACGCAGCAACGCCGCGUGGAGGAAGAAGGUCUUCGGAUUGUAAACUCCUGUCUUCCGGGACGAAGAAUGACGGUACCGGAGGAGGAAGCCACGGCUAACUACGUGCCAGCAGCCGCGGUAAUACGUAGGUGGCGAGCGUUGUCCGGAAUUACUGGGCGUAAAGGGCGCGUAGGCGGUUUUUUAAGUCAGAUGUGAAAACCCGGGGCUUAACUUCGGGAGUGCAUUUGAAACUGAAGAGCUUGAGUGCAGGAGAGGUAAGUGGAAUUCCUAGUGUAGCGGUGAAAUGCGUAGAUAUUAGGAGGAACACCAGUGGCGAAGGCGACUUACUGGACUGUAACUGACGCUGAGGCGCGAAAGCGUGGGGAGCAAACAGGAUUAGAUACCCUGGUAGUCCACGCUGUAAACGAUGGAUACUAGGUGUGGGAGGUAUCGACCCCUUCCGUGCCGCAGUAAACGCAAUAAGUAUCCCGCCUGGGGAGUACGGCCGCAGGGUUGAAACUCAAAUGGAUUGACGG
rnacentral:rRNA from 1 species